ACCAAAAUUCCUGGCAGCUCUACACAUCAAAUGCAUUUGUAGAGAAGAGCAUAUAGAGGGAAUUGUGAGUAAGCCAGAUUAAUGCACCAGAAAAAGUAGAAACUGCACCAGAAAAAGUAGAAACUGCACCAGAAAAAGUAGAAACUGUACCAAGAACAGGAAGGACGGAUUGGCACCAGUGAAUUCAAACAAUAACCAGGUAGAAGAUAAAAGAAGGUG
rnacentral:lncRNA from 1 species